GACAGAGGUCCCGAGCGUUAGGCGGAAUCACUGGGCUUAAAGCGUGUGUAGGCGGCGGCCUAAGUACCUUGUGAAAUCCCACGGCUCACCCAUGGAACUGCUCGGUAUACUGGGUCGCUUGAGCCACUUAGGGGCUACCGGAACAAAUGGUGGAGCGGUGAAAUGCGUAGAUAUCAUUUGGAACGCCAAUGGUGAAAACAGGUAGCUGGGAGUGUGCUGACGCUGAGACACGAAAGCCAGGGGAGCAAACGGG
rnacentral:rRNA from 1 species